rnacentral:rRNA from 1 species
UACGGAGGGUGCAAGCGUUUUCCGGAUUUAUUGGGUUUAAAGGGUGCGUAGGCGGCCUGUUAAGUCCGGGGUGAAAGCCCACAGCUCAACUGUGGAACUGCCCUGGAUACUGGCGGGCUUGAGUCCAGACGAGGUUGGCGGAAUGGAUGCUGUAGCGGUGAAAUGCAUAGAUAGCAUCCAGAACCCCGAUUGCGUAGGCAGCUGACUAGGCUGGUACUGACACUGAGGCACGAAAGCGUGGGGAGCGAACAGG